rnacentral:lncRNA from 1 species
CAGCCAUGGUUGAGGGGGCAGGCAUGCCCCAUCUAGCUACCAGGAGAGCUGUUUACAUGGAAUCCAAGUUGCCUGCCAGGGGCAGAGCACGUUUUUCCACAGCUGCUGAGAAAGACGAGUGAGUCAAGACAGAAUAACAAAAAGCCACUUCAAAAACACACCAGAAGAAGUACGAAGCUGAGACAAUCACAGGACAAUAGAGCCCAUUGAAGAGGAGCCUGGAGUUGGAGGUAUUGGCUCAAGUCCCUCCGACUGUCAUUCAGUUGCCAUGAGACUUUAGGUAAGUUACUAUCAAAUGAACCACAUCCCUUGCCAAAGUAGGGGCUAAGAUUUUUUUUGUUUUGGUUUGGUUUUUCGAGACAAGAGUAUCUCUGUGUAGCCUUAGCUGUGUUGGAACUCACUCUGUAAACCAGGCUGGCCUUGAACUUAGAACCCAGAGAUCUGCCUGCCCCUGCUUCCCAAGUGCUGGGAUUAAAGGCGUGUGUGAGACAGGGUCUUACAUGGCUCAGGCUGACCGAUAGCUGCCUGUAUAUUUGAGGAUGGCCUGGAGUUCCUGCCUUCACCUCCCAGAUGUUGGGGUCACAGGCAUGCUCAGUUACUUUGGGUUUCGAUUUUCAGUUUUCUUUUUUCCUCUUUUGGAAAGAGGAUCUCAAAGAUGUAGCCCAGACUACAGGUACCCAUGGUGCUGCAUUAGUUUAAAAGGUGAGAUCUCAACCCUUGGGAGGUACAACAGUCAAUCAGUCAAUCAAUUAUCAAUAAAUCAGUGUGAUCCUCAGUGUACCCCGGACAUUUUAAAUUUAACUAAUUGAAUGUGUGGGUGUUCUGCUGCAUAUAUGCAACAGGCCAGAAGAGGGCAUCAGAUCCCCUUAUAGAUGGUUGUGAGUCACCAUGUGAUUGAAGGGCUGGGAAUUGAACUCAGGACCUCUGGAAGAGCAGUCAGUGCUCUUAACCGCUGGACCACCUCGCCAGCCCUAGCAACACUAGCUUUUAAUACUCUUCAAAUGAUUCCAACGUCCAGGCAAGAACCCUGAUCCUCCCAGAACUUCUCGAAGUUUAGCGUGUGCAGGAAAUCAGCUGGUCUGGUACAGCUGUUUGACAUCUGCAGUUCUACUGAAUCCACAGGUGAUGCCCACGACCACACCUGGGAUGAUAUUGUCCCUGUUUAUGUUCCUGUCCUUGUUCCCUCCAAUGACACCGUGGGCAAGCGUUGUCCUCCCGCUCUGUUUUCAU